UACGAGGGGAGCAAGCGUUGUUCGGAUUUACUGGGCGUAAAGGGCGCGUAGGCGGUCAGCACAAGUCAGUUGUGAAAUCUCCGGGCUUAACCCGGAAAGGUCAACUGAUACUGUGCGACUAGAGUGCGGAAGGGGCAACUGGAAUUCUCGGUGUAGCGGUGAAAUGCGUAGAUAUCGAGAGGAACACCUGCGGCGAAGGCGGGUUGCUGGGCCGACACUGACGCUGAUGCGCGAAAGCCAGGGGAGCGAACGGG
rnacentral:rRNA from 1 species